rnacentral:rRNA from 1 species
UACGGAGGGUGCAAGCGUCACCCGGAAUCACUGGGUUUAAAGGGUGCGUAGGCGGUCAGAUAAGUCAGUUGUGAAAUUCCCCGGCUUAACCGGCGGGACUGCGAUUGAUACUGUUUGACUUGAAUCAAGUUGAGGCAGGCGGAAUGUGACAUGUAGCGGUGAAAUGCUUAGAUAUGUCAUAGAACACCGAUUGCGAAGGCAGCUUGCUGGGCUUUGAUUGACGCUGAGGCACGAAAGCGUGGGGAGCAAACAGG